rnacentral:rRNA from 1 species
UACGGAGGAUGCAAGCGUUAUCCGGAUUUAUUGGGUUUAAAGGGUGCGCAGGCGGAAUGAUAAGUCAGUGGUGAAAGCUUCCGGCUCAACCGGAAAAUUGCCAUUGAUACUAUCGUUCUUGAGUACAGUUGAGGUAGGCGGAAUGUGUCAUGUAGCGGUGAAAUGCUUAGAUAUGACACAGAACACCGAUAGCGAAGGCAGCUUACCAAAUUGACACUGACGCUCAUGCACGAAAGCGUGGGGAUCAAACAGG